AAAUCAUGGUGCGGGCAUCUUCUCAACAAUUCCUUGAAUCGCUGCCAUGCCUUAAACAGUGAUUCUGUCUCAUAUUGUUGGAAACAACAUAUUUCUGUCAUCAGCUU